ACUAAAACCAGAGCGAGAAAAACCAUUUGCAAAAUUUGAAGAGAGAGAGAGUAUCUAGAGAGAGAGAGAGAGAGAGUCAGCAUCUUCUUCCUUGAGGAUCUUUUUCUUCACGAGGCAUCUAGCAUUUCAUUUUGAGGUCUGUGUUUGCGGCUCCAAGGGUCCUAGUCUUCUACGUUUGUGCGAGAGAGUGGAAGUGGAUUUCUGAGUCACGGUUGAAGUCGUGGGUAUCUCUAAGGUUUGCAUUCGCGUUGGAUGGUGAUGAUGUGAUUCGGUUCUUCAAAACCCAGUAUCCCAAACAUGUUUGGUGAGAUUCUUGAAACAUUUCUUCAUUUUCACCUCAGAUUUAUUCAGAACCCAUUGAAGCUGACUGACCCAUCGCCUCCAUUUUUUCCUCAGAUUAGCGUCCUUGAAAUGAAAAACUACCAGAGAGAGAAAAAUGUUUUGUGAAAUCUGAAGAGAGAGAGAGAGAGAGAGAGAGAGAGAGAGAGAGAGUAAAAUCCGCAGAGAGAGGUCUGCACCUUUUUCGUUGGGGAUCUUCUUCUUCACGAGGCAUCUAGCAUUUCAGCUUGAAAAACCAGAGAGAGUAAAAGUUACGAUCACAGAAGAGAGAGAGUCCGCGUCUUUCUCUAUGAGCUGAGUAAAAGCUAGAGAGUAAAACCCAGUUUGUGAAAUCUGAAGAGAGAGGCAUCUAGCAUUCUCUUUGAGCUGAGUAAAAAUUAGAGAGUAAAACCCAGUUGUGAAAUCUGAAGAGAGAGAGAGAGUCUGCGUCCUCUUCGUCGUGCGUGUAGCUUCCCCGGUGCUUCUCUAGAAUUCCACCAUCCAUGGGGUAUACAAUCGUAUAUAAAAUCCUCAGGCAUGCGUAUUGGGGACAAAAGAAGACUCACAAUUCCACCAUCUAUGGGCUAUGGAUCUGAACGUGUUGGGAAGAUACCGCCAAAUUCAUGGCUUGUGUUUGAUGUAGAGUUGGUCGAUGUUCGUUGAUCACACCGCAUUCAUGUUUUCCCUUAGUUUUGGAGGUUUUCACUUGCUGCAAAAAGAUGUGAAGAAGUGUUUCAUCGUUAAUGAUUGGGUCUUUGAGAAAAAGGAAAGCUUUGUCCAGGAUUGUAAAUUUUGCAUCCAUCACAUGGGGAACUGAUUGAGAAAUUUUUUUUGUAAAAUUUCUAGUGUUUUGAAGAAUUUAGAUACUUAUAGUGAGUUAUGAAGGUUAAUAUUUCCUAAAUACAUUGUGCUAGGAUUUGGCCAUUUAUAACUCAAGGCUGGAGAAAAAUAGUUUCUGGUUUGCACUAGCAUGCAAGAUUGGGCAUUGUUGUCGACAUAUGGGGUGUAGAAUUGAACUAUGGGAUUCAUGAAAUUAAAUUGGAAACAAGAACUUUGAAGGAAUGUUUUAAUUAAUUGUUGUAACAAGCUGAAAGCCAUAAACUUGUUACAAGUUUCUAGCGGAGGGAAUGUACUGGAUGAGAUAUUGAAGCUCACUCUUAAGAUUCAACGAUAUAAUUAUUCAUGCUUUUAUCGUAUAUACUUAAUUUUUUUUAUUA